AACGAACGCUGGCGGCAUGCCUAACACAUGCAAGUCGAACGAGACCUUCGGGUCUAGUGGCGCACGGGUGCGUAACGCGUGGGAAUCUGCCCUUUGCUUCGGAAUAACAGUUAGAAAUGACUGCUAAUACCGGAUGAUGUCUUCGGACCAAAGAUUUAUCGGCAAAGGAUGAGCCCGCGUAGGAUUAGGUAGUUGGUGGGGUAAAGGCCUACCAAGCCGACGAUCCUUAGCUGGUCUGAGAGGAUGAUCAGCCACACUGGGACUGAGACACGGCCCAGACUCCUACGGGAGGCAGCAGUGGGAAUAUUGGACAAUGGGCGCAAGCCUGAUCCAGCAAUGCCGCGUGAGUGAUGAAGGCCUCGGUCGUAAAGACUCUUUACCUAGGGAGUGAUAAU
rnacentral:rRNA from 1 species